rnacentral:rRNA from 1 species
AGAGUUUGAUCAUGGCUCAGGAUGAACGCUGGCGGCGUGCCUGAUACAUGCAAGUCGAACGGACCAGCUUGUCAGGGAGGUUCUGCAAAGAAAGGGACUGACAUAGCUGGUUAGUGGCGAACGGGUGAGUAACACGUAGGUAUCUACCCCGAGGUGGGGAAUAACUGUUCGAAAGGGCAGCUAAUUCCGCAUGUGCUCCGGGAGGAGGAAAGGGCGAGAGCCCGUCUCGGGAUGAGCCUGCGGCCGAUUAGCUAGUUGGUGAGGUAAAGGCUCACCAAGGCGACGAUCGGUAGCUGGUCUGAGAGGAUGAUCAGCCACACUGGAACUGCGGCACGGUCCAGACUCCUACGGGAGGCAGCAGUAAGGAAUAUUGCACAAUGGGCGAAAGCCUGAUGCAGCAACGCCGCGUGAGCGAAGAAGGCCUUCGGGUCGUAAAGCUCUUUUCUAGGGGAAGAGGAAGGACGGUACCCUAGGAACAAGUCUCGGCUAACUACGUGCCAGCAGCCGCGGUAAAACGUAGGAGGCGAGCGUUAUCCGGAUUUAUUGGGCGUAAAGGGCAAGUAGGCGGUAGGCAAAGUUGGUUGUGACAUCUCCCGGCUCAACUGGGAGGGUGCGGCCAAAACUAGCAUACUAGAGGGCAGAAGAGGGAAGUGGAAUUCCUGGUGUAGCGGUGGAAUGCUCAGAUACCAGGAGGAACACCAGUGGCGAAGGCGGCUUCCUGGUCUGCACCUGACGCUGAGAGGCGAAAGCUAGGGGAGCGAACGGGCUUAGAUACCCCGGUAGUCCUAGCCGUAAACGUUGGAUACUGGGUAUUUGGGAGGUAAGACUUCUGAGUGCCGAAGCAAACGCGUUAAGUAUCCCGCCUGGGGACUACGGCCGCAAGGUUAAAACUCAAAUGAAUUGACGG